rnacentral:rRNA from 1 species
UACGGAGGGUGCAAGCGUUAUCCGGAUUCACUGGGUUUAAAGGGCGCGUAGGCGGGUCGGUAAGUCAGGGGUGAAAUCCCACGGCCCAACCGUGGAAGUGCCUCUGAUACUGCCGGCCUCGAGGGGGAUAGGGGCGUGCGGAACUCAGGGUGGAGCGGUGAAAUGCGUAGAUAUCCUGAGGAACACCGGUGGCGAAAGCGGCGCGCUGGAUCCCUUCUGACGCUGAGGCGCGAAAGCCAGGGGAGCAAACGGG